CGAGCGCCCUUUUCCACCCCUCUCCAAGGAGGGCCCGAGGGGUUCUGCAGGGGCGAGUUUCGGUGUCUAAAGCCUUCCUUUUCCCAUGAUGUGCGCAUAGGAAGCCUUCUGUGUAACCUUACCUCUGAGACCUAGUUAUCAGUUGCCCAAACCCAGCCAUAAGGAUGUCAUUCCAUGGACCAUAUCUUAGAGGUUUUCACUUACAAAGCAUCCCUUGGAGUACCCCGCUCAGAGACUGGCACAAAGGGAGUGGGUAUCGUUGUUGAACAGGAAAAAAUAAGAUCCUGUUGGAGCUUUGGCCCUGAUGACUUAUGCAUCUGGAAUGUUCCAUGGGAUGGAGCAUGGCUGGGCAGGGUGGACCACUGAGGACAGAGAGCUGACCCAACAGACACCUGAUCUGACAGGAGCAAGUCCUGCAGAACCUGCGCUGGAGAGAUUUUGGUGAUCACCCAGCCGCAGUUCACCACCCUGGCUGCACCUAGACGCACCUGGGAGCUUAAAAAAAUAUUUGUUUGUGGAUUCCAUCCCUGGAGGUUUAAUUCAAGUGGUCUGGGGUAGAACUCCUUCUGAAGUUCUAUGAGAAAGAAGAGCUAAUGUCACCCAUGACUGCAGACCUCCCUGGGGCCUUGAAGUCAGUGCAAGAGAUGAAACAGCACCUGCAGGCUGAACAGAUUCUCAGAGGCACCUGACCAUGAGCUUUAGCAGUCGAAUACCUAAGGACAUCGUCCUGUCUUUUUACAGCCCAGCCCUCUCACAAGCCAAAAUCCGUCAUCCAUCCUGGUACCCAGGGAGCUGACAGCACCAUGAGACGGGGAUUGCAAAUAGAAGAACCAUGAAAAAGAGAGAAGUCUUUUUUUCUCCAAAGUUGGCUCGUUCAAGCAGACUAAAACAACUGAAACCAUGUUAUUUUAAAAGCAAAAUUGAGAUGAGGAAGAGUUUAAAGAAAUAUAAAACAUGAUAUUCAUCACAGUUUUUCUUCCAUAUUUUCAAGUAUGUAAUGAUUCCCCAAUUAUUAUGAUCAUGACUGCUUGCAAAAAAAAAAAAGAAAACUCCUUUUCUACAAGUCAAUCCACAUGUGAUACAUAUUUUAAAUACCUUUAGUUUGUUUAAAACUUUUUAUUCCUAGGAUUCCCCCAGUUUUUUUCAUAAUGUCCUCAUGAUACACAUGGCUAGUAUAUCUGUUCUCACUCAACAGGAAGAAAAACAAGACAUGGGUUGGGAAACGACCACACCCAGGCUGCCGAAAACAACCUCAUCUCUCAGGAAACUAGAGGAGAGUUCACAGUUCUGAGCCAACAUACUAUUCAGCCCACUGGGCAUCUCAAGCAAUGAUAUUCACUUGAUACCUGAAAAUUACAUUUUCGAAAAUGCCCCAGAGCAUACUCAUUCAUUCAUCCAUCCAUUCAUUCAACAAGUAUCUAUUGAGGGCCACUUAUAUUCCAGGCACUAGUCUUAGGUGCAAAAUAUAGAAGUCAUGGCACUUGUCCUCAACAGUCUAGAAGCCUUUGGAGGAAGCCAACGUAUGGACAAAAAGGCAGUGGCAUAUAGAGAUGAAGAACUCAGGCGCAGGGGUCAGACA